rnacentral:rRNA from 1 species
UGGGGAAUAUUGGACAAUGGGCGCAAGCCUGAUCCAGCCAUGCCGCGUGAGUGACGAAGGUCUUCGGAUUGUAAAGCUCUUUUGCCAGGGACGAUAAUGACGGUACCUGGAGAAUAAGCCCCGGCUAACUUCGUGCCAGCAGCCGCGGUAAUACGAAGGGGGCUAGCGUUGUUCGGAAUUACUGGGCGUAAAGCGCACGUAGGCGGAUUUGUUAGUCAGGGGUGAAAUCCCGGGGCUCAACCUCGGAACUGCCUUUGAUACUGCAAGUCUAGAGUCCGGAAGAGGUGAGUGGAAUUCCUAGUGUAGAGGUGAAAUUCGUAGAUAUUAGGAAGAACACCAGUGGCGAAGGCGGCUCACUGGUCCGGUACUGACGCUGAGGUGCGAAAGCGUGGGGAGCAAA